rnacentral:rRNA from 1 species
AGAGUUUGAUCCUGGCUCAGGAUGAACGCUAGCUACAGGCUUAACACAUGCAAGUCGAGGGGAAACGGCAUUAAGUGCUUGCACUUUUUGGACGUCGACCGGCGCACGGGUGAGUAACGCGUAUCCAACCUGCCCCUUACCAGGGAAUAACCCGUUGAAAGACGGACUAAUGCCCUAUGGAGUCCUUUGACGGCAUCAGAUUAGGACUAAAGAUUCAUCGGUAUGGGAUGGGGAUGCGUCUGAUUAGCUUGUUGGCGGGGUAACGGCCCACCAAGGCAUCGAUCAGUAGGGGUUCUGAGAGGAAGGUCCCCCACAUAGGAACUGAGACACGGUCCUAACUCCUACGGGAGGCAGCAGUGAGGAAUAUUGGUCAAUGGGCGCUAGCCUGAACCAGCCAAGUAGCGUGCAGGAUGACGGCCCUAUGGGUUGUAAACUGCUUUUAUGCGGGGAUAAAGUCACCCACGUGUGGGUGUUUGCAGGUACCGCAUGAAUAAGGACCGGCUAAUUCCGUGCCAGCAGCCGCGGUAAUACGGAAGGUCCGGGCGUUAUCCGGAUUUAUUGGGUUUAAAGGGAGUGUAGGCGGCCUGUUAAGCGUGUUGUGAAAUGUAGAUGCUCAACAUCUGAACUGCAGCGCGAACUGGCUGGCUUGAGUACACGCAACGUGGGCGGAAUUCAUGGUGUAGCGGUGAAAUGCUUAGAUAUCAUGAGGAACUCCUAUUGCGAAGGCAGCUCACGGGAGUGUCACUGACGCUUAAGCUCGAAGGUGCGGGUAUCAAACAGGAUUAGAUACCCUGGUAGUCCGCACGGUAAACGAUGGAUGCCCGCUGU